rnacentral:rRNA from 1 species
GAUGAACGCUGGCGGCGUGCCUAAUACAUGCAAGUCGAGCGAACGGACGAGAAGCUUGCUUCUCUGAUGUUAGCGGCGGACGGGUUAGUAACACGUGGAUAACCUACCUAUAAGACUGGGAUAACUUCGGGAAACCGGAGCUAAUACCGGAUAAUAUUUUGAACCGCAUGGUUCAAAAGUUAAAGACGGUCUUUCUGUCACUUAUAGAUGGAUCCGCGCUGCAUUAGCUAGUUGGUAAGGUAACGGCUUACCAAGGCAACGAUGCAUAGCCGACCUGAGAGGGUGAUCGGCCACACUGGAACUGAGACACGGUCCAGACUCCUACGGGAGGCAGCAGUAGGGAAUCUUCCGCAAUGGGCGAAAGCCUGACGGAGCAACGCCGCGUGAGUGAUGAAGGUCUUCGGAUCGUAAAACUCUGUUAUUAGGGAAGAACAUAUGUGUAAGUAACUGUGCACAUCUUGACGGUACCUAAUCAGAAAGCCACGGCUAACUACGUG